rfam:Equus caballus chromosome 14, whole genome shotgun sequence.
GGAUGUGAGGGUGAUGCGGCUGUGACAUCUGUCACCCCUUUAAUCGCUGGGGUUAAUUUGGCUGAUGUGGUUGGCUAGGUGGGUGUCCCUUUCCUCUGUCACUGCUCCUUGUGCAUUCCUCCCAAAGCUAUGUGCUCAGUCAAAGAGGACGACCUUCCCUGAUAAAGGAGGACUGUUCUUCGGUCAAAGGUAUACAACUAGCUGUGCUCCCCUGCUAGAACCUCUAAACAAGUUCUCAAGGUCCAUUUGUAAGAGAACAUAGUGUAGUCAAGCUUCCAAGGCUCCAAAUGCAUUGAGAUGAGGUGCUGCAUGUGGCAGUCUGCCUUAAAAA